AUUGAACGCUGGCGGCAUGCUUUACACAUGCAAGUCGAACGGCAGCGCGGGCUUCGGCCUGGCGGCGAGUGGCGAACGGGUGAGUAAUGCAUCGGAACGUGCCCAGUAGUGGGGGAUAGCCCGGCGAAAGCCGGAUUAAUACCGCAUACGACCUGAGGGUGAAAGCGGGGGACCGAAAGGCCUCGCGCUAUUGGAGCGGCCGAUGUCGGAUUAGCUAGUUGGUGGGGUAAAGGCUUACCAAGGCGACGAUCCGUAGCUGGUCUGAGAGGACGAACAGCCACACUGGGACCGAGACACGGGCCAGGCUCCUACGGGAGGGAGGAGGGGGGAAAUUUGGGCCAUGGGGGCAACCCUGAUCCAGCCAUGCCGCGUGCGGGAAGAAGGCCUUCGGGUUGUAAACCGCUUUUGUUCGGGAAGAAAGCCUCUGGGCUAAUACCCCGGGGGGAUGACGGUACCGGAAGAAUAAGCACCGGCUAACUACGUG
rnacentral:rRNA from 1 species